rnacentral:rRNA from 1 species
GGACUACUGGGGUUUCUAAUCCUGUUUGCUCCCCACGCUUUCGCGCCUCAGCGUCAGUAACGAGCCAGAAAGCCGCCUUCGCCUCUGAUGUUCCUCCUAAUAUCUACGAAUUUCACCUCUACACUAGGAAUUCCGCUUUCCUCUCUCGUCCUCUAGUCAUACCGUUUCAGGCGCAAUUCCCGGGUUAAGCCCGGGGCUUUCACGCUUGACUAAUAUAACCGCCUACGCGCCCUUUACGCCCAGUCAUUCCGAACAACGCUAGCACCCUCUGUCUUACCGCGGCUGCUGGCAC